rnacentral:rRNA from 1 species
GACGAACGCUGGCGGCGUGCUUAACACAUGCAAGUCGAACGGAAAGGCCCUGCUUUUGUGGGGUGCUCGAGUGGCGAACGGGUGAGUAACACGUGAGUAACCUGCCCUUGACUUUGGGAUAACUUCAGGAAACUGGGGCUAAUACCGGAUAGGAGCUCCUGCUGCAUGGUGGGGGUUGGAAAGUUUCGGCGGUUGGGGAUGGACUCGCGGCUUAUCAGCUUGUUGGUGGGGUAGUGGCUUACCAAGGCUUUGACGGGUAGCCGGCCUGAGAGGGUGACCGGGCAAAAUGGGGCUGGGGAACGGGCCCGGACCCUUCGGGAGGGAGGAGUGGGGGAUUUUUGCCAAUGGGCGGGAGGCUGGUGCAAGAACGGCGGGGUGGGGAAGGCGGCCUUCGGGGUGGAAACCGCUUUCGCCUGUGACGAAGCGUGAGUGACGGUAAUGGGGAAAGAAGCACCGGCUAACUACGU